rnacentral:sRNA from 1 species
UUGACAGCCCUGGAGACUGAAGUUCUCUGUGUAUCCAUGGACCAGCAACAAGGCAGGAGAAGUGCAAGCUUCUGUACACUUCCCUAUCAAUGUAUUUCAACACUGACCUGGAUGGAACAUCACUAGCUUUGAGAGAAAACUGUCCUACUCAGAGGCCCAACCCUAGACCUAU